AUUAUAAACCUCGCCACUGCCCCUUCACUUUUUUCCACAUAAAAAUUUCCGUUGUUUCUCUCUUCUUUCAUUCUGUCGAUGGGGAAUUCUCAAAAGCUCUCUUCAAACAUGAAAUCUAGACACAAAUUUCCACUCCGAGACUUUCACAAAAGCGAAGACCAAAACGGAAGCUUUGAAUUUGGGACGAGUUUUGUGGUGGUGUUGAAGGGAGGUGGUGGUUGAUGGGAAUUUGGUGCUAUCCUACCUGAGCUUUUUCUUCGUAUUUCUAUAUUCGUUCCUACCGUAUUCUUUCAUCUUCUACUACUUAUCGAUCCCUUCCCUUCUUCUUGACCUUGUAAGACCUUUUCUUGACCUUGUAAGACGUCACGCCGGGUCUGUUGUCUUUGUUUUGUGUUUUGGUUCAAGCUUUGUGUCGGAAUUCACUGAUAUAGAGUUUGGCCUCCGUUCCUCAUCGUUACCGACCAACUCUUCUUCUCCUUCCUUGUCUAUCCCUCCUGAGCUGUUCCACAAUUACCUCAAACUAGAAGCCCACCAUAGCAAAUCCUCAAUCAAAGCAAGGACUCUUUUGCCGGUGGUCCUCCAAGUAGGGUUGUAAAAAAUGUAGAAAUUCAGAAAUAUUAAUGAGUAGUGACAUACAUAUAUGUUGUUUUUAUUCAGUGGGAAAUAAAUAAAAAUAAAAUUUUAUUUAUUUAGUUUUGUUAUUAUUGCCUGCAGCUGUUACUUAUUCUGUGAAGGCAAUCAAUUGGAAAUGUAUUAUUGUUGUGAGUGCAGAAAUACUGAAAUAUGCUGUUGGCAGUCAUCAGUUUCGUUGUUUUAUAUGUUGUUGGCUGAGAAAGUAAGAGAAUAAAUAUUCUCUCAGAUCUGUGCAAGACUUCCCACUCGUGACUGCUGCUCUCCUUUCCGACCCUAAGUCAACAAGGUUCACUACUUUACGAAGGUCGGGAGGGAUCAUAUCAUAGUAGGCCUUAUUCUUACUUAUAAAGAAGUUGUUUCCACGACUCGAAUCCGCAACUUUAACUUUUCUGAUGCUCCUAUCUUUAUGUACAAAUUAAAAUAAAAUCAACUGUAUUAUUGGAGGAGACCCUCUUUUUCCUUUUUUCUACAAGUUCUUCAUCCAAAAGCUGAUGUCCCUUUUUUCUUUUUUGUUGAUUUUUU
rnacentral:sRNA from 1 species